UGGGGGAUUGAUACACAGAUGGAGAUGACAUCUGCUCCAUUUGUCACAAAAUCUCCCUAGAAUAUAAAUGCUCUCUGAUGCCUGGGGCGAAGUAAGAGAAAUCGUCACGGACAGAUACGGGGCAGACACGC